GGGUUGUGAGGUUAAGCGACUAAGCGUACACGGUGGAUGCCCUGGCAGUCAGAGGCGAUGAAGGGCGUGCUAAUCUGCGAUAAGCGCCGGUAAGGUGAUAUGAACCGUUAUAACCGGCGAUACCCGAAUGGGGAAACCCAGUGUGACUCGUCACACUAUCAUUAACUGAAUCCAUAGGUUAAUGAGGCGAACCGGGGGAACUGAAACAUCUAAGUACCCGAGGAAAAGAAAUCAACCGAGAUUCCCCAGUAGCGGCGAGCGAACGGGGAGGAGCCCAGAGCCUGAAUCAGCAUGUGUGUUAGUGGAAGCGUCUGGAAAGGCGCGCGAUACAGGGUGACAGCCCCGUACACAAAAGCGCAUGUGCUGUGAGCUCGAUGAGUAGGGCGGGACACGUGGUAUCCUGUCUGAAUAUGGGGGGACCAUCCUCCAAGGCUAAAUACUCCUGACUGACCGAUAGUGAACCAGUACCGUGAGGGAAAGGCGAAAAGAACCCCGGCGAGGGGAGUGAAAAAGAACCUGAAACCGUGUACGUACAAGCAGUGGGAGCACCCUUUGGGUGUGACUGCGUACCUUUUGUAUAAUGGGUCAGCGACUUAUAUUCUGUAGCAAGGUUAACCGAAUAGGGGAGCCGGAGGGAAACCGAGUCUUAACCGGGCGUUAAGUUGCAGGGUAUAGACCCGAAACCCGGUGAUCUAGCCAUGGGCAGGUUGAAGGUUGGGUAACACUAACUGGAGGACCGAACCGACUAAUGUUGAAAAAUUAGCGGAUGACCUGUGGCUGGGGGUGAAAGGCCAAUCAAACCGGGAGAUAGCUGGUUCUCCCCGAAAGCUAUUUAGGUAGCGCCUCGUGAAUUCAUCUCCGGGGGUAGAGCACUGUUUCGGCUAGGGGGCCAUCCCGGCUUACCAACCCGAUGCAAACUGCGAAUACCGGAGAAUGUUAUCACGGGAGACACACGGCGGGUGCUAACGUCCGUCGUGAAGAGGGAAACAACCCAGACCGCCAGCUAAGGUCCCAAAGUCAUGGUUAAGUGGGAAACGAUGUGGGAAGGCCCAGACAGCCAGGAUGUUGGCUUAGAAGCAGCCAUCAUUUAAAGAAAGCGUAAUAGCUCACUGGUCGAGUCGGCCUGCGCGGAAGAUGUAACGGGGCUAAACCAUGCACCGAAGCUGCGGCAGCGACACUGUGUGUUGUUGGGUAGGGAGCGUUCUGUAAGCCUGCGAAGGUGGCCUGUGAGGGUUGCUGGAGGUAUCAGAAGUGCGAAUGCUGACAUAAGUAACGAUAAAGCGGGUGAAAAGCCCGCUCGCCGGAAGACCAAGGGUUCCUGUCCAACGUUAAUCGGGGCAGGGUGAGUCGACCCCUAAGGCGAGGCCGAAAGGCGUAGUCGAUGGGAAACGGGUUAAUAUUCCCGUACUUGGUGUUACUGCGAAGGGGGGACGGAGAAGGCUAUGUUGGCCGGGCGACGGUUGUCCCGGUUUAAGCGUGUAGGUGUGUGUUCGGGUAAAUCCGGUUCACUUUAACACUGAGGCGUGACGACGAGGCACUACGGUGCUGAAGCAACAAAUGCCCUGCUUCCAGGAAAAGCCUCUAAGCAUCAGGUAACAUCAAAUCGUACCCCAAACCGACACAGGUGGUCAGGUAGAGAAUACCAAGGCGCUUGAGAGAACUCGGGUGAAGGAACUAGGCAAAAUGGUGCCGUAACUUCGGGAGAAGGCACGCUGACACGUAGGUGAAGUGAUUUACUCAUGGAGCUGAAGUCAGUCGAAGAUACCAGCUGGCUGCAACUGUUUAUUAAAAACACAGCACUGUGCAAACACGAAAGUGGACGUAUACGGUGUGACGCCUGCCCGGUGCCGGAAGGUUAAUUGAUGGGGUCAGCGCAAGCGAAGCUCCUGAUCGAAGCCCCGGUAAACGGCGGCCGUAACUAUAACGGUCCUAAGGUAGCGAAAUUCCUUGUCGGGUAAGUUCCGACCUGCACGAAUGGCGUAAUGAUGGCGAGGCUGUCUCCACCCGAGACUCAGUGAAAUUGAACUCGCUGUGAAGAUGCAGUGUACCCGCGGCAAGACGGAAAGACCCCGUGAACCUUUACUAUAGCUUGACACUGAACAUUGAGCCUUGAUGUGUAGGAUAGGUGGGAGGCUUUGAAGUGUGGACGCCAGUCUGCAUGGAGCCGACCUUGAAAUACCACCCUUUAAUGUUUGAUGUUCUAACGUGGACCCGUUACCCGGGUUGCGGACAGUGUCUGGUGGGUAGUUUGACUGGGGCGGUCUCCUCCUAAAGAGUAACGGAGGAGCACGAAGGUUGGCUAAUCCUGGUCGGACAUCAGGAGGUUAGUGCAAUGGCAUAAGCCAGCUUGACUGCGAGCGUGACGGCGCGAGCAGGUGCGAAAGCAGGUCAUAGUGAUCCGGUGGUUCUGAAUGGAAGGGCCAUCGCUCAACGGAUAAAAGGUACUCCGGGGAUAACAGGCUGAUACCGCCCAAGAGUUCAUAUCGACGGCGGUGUUUGGCACCUCGAUGUCGGCUCAUCACAUCCUGGGGCUGAAGUAGGUCCCAAGGGUAUGGCUGUUCGCCAUUUAAAGUGGUACGCGAGCUGGGUUUAGAACGUCGUGAGACAGUUCGGUCCCUAUCUGCCGUGGGCGCUGGAGAACUGAGGGGGGCUGCUCCUAGUACGAGAGGACCGGAGUGGACGCAUCACUGGUGUUCGGGUUGUCAUGCCAAUGGCACUGCCCGGUAGCUAAAUGCGGAAGAGAUAAGUGCUGAAAGCAUCUAAGCACGAAACUUGCCCCGAGAUGAGUUCUCCCUGAGACUUAGAGUCUCCUGAAGGAACGUUGAAGACGACGACGUUGAUAGGCCGGGUGUGUAAGCGCAGCGAUGCGUUGAGCUAACCGGUACUAAUGAACCGUGAGGCUUAACCUUACAACGCCGAAG
rnacentral:rRNA from 1 species